rnacentral:rRNA from 1 species
CCUACGGGUGACAGCAGUGAGGAAUAUUGGUCAAUGGUCGGGAGACUGAACCAGCCAAGCCGCGUGAGGGAUGACGGUACUGAGUAUCGUAAACCUCUUUUGUCAGGGCACAAAGGCGGGGACGUGUCCCCGGAUGAGUGUACCUGACGAAAAAGCAUCGGCUAACUACGUGCCAGCAGCCGCGGUAAUACGUAGGGGGCAAGCGUUAUCCGGAUUUACUGGGUGUAAAGGGAGCGUAGACGGUAGCGGAAGUCUGGAGUGAAAUCCCAUGGCUUAACCAUGGAACUGCUUUGGAAACUGUGCAGCUAGAGUGCAGGAGAGGUAAGCGGAAUGCCUAGUGUAGCGGUGAAAUGCGUAGAUAUUAGGAGGAACACCAGUGGCGAAGGCGGCUUACUGGACUGUAACUGACGUUGAGGCUCGAAAGCGUGGGGAGCAAACAGGAUUAGAUACCCCUGUAGUC